ensembl:vault_RNA Vault Vault RNA
GGGCUGGCCAUAUAGCUCAGCGGUUCCUUCUCAAAACUCUGAUUUAAACAGACCAAUCCUCUCGGGGGUUUGAAACCCGCGGGCGCUAUCCAGCCUUUUU